GGAUCCGUGGCGCAAUGGUAGUGCGUUUUACUCCAGAUCAAAAGGUUGCGUGUUCGAUUCACGUCGGGUUCA
rnacentral:tRNA from 1 species